rnacentral:sRNA from 1 species
CCCUAGCCCUGAUAGAAAUGGUUACCCCGCAGCUUGCGUGGGAGAGUCGGUGGGUUGGAGCCUGGGAGACCCUUCGACUUCGCUCUGGGUGACAGCCUGGGAGAGCAUGGCGCGAGGAGUAGGAAUGGAGAGCAGGAAAAAGA